GUAUGAAUUACCUGGGGAUCUUGUUAAAAUGCAGAUUCCGGUUCAAUAAAAUGUAGGUUGUAGCCUGAAGUCUGCAUUUCUAAUAAGCUUCUGGGUAAUGUGAUG
rnacentral:pre_miRNA from 1 species